rnacentral:rRNA from 1 species
UACGGAGGAUGCAAGCGUUAUCCGGAAUGAUUGGGCGUAAAGCGUCCGCAGGUGGCUGUGUAAGUCUGCUGUCAAAGAGCGAAGCUCAACUUCGUAAAGGCAGUGGAAACUACACGGCUAGAGUGCGUUCGGGGCAGAGGGAAUUCCUGGUGUAGCGGUGAAAUGCGUAGAGAUCAGGAAGAACACCGGUGGCGAAGGCGCUCUGCUAGGCCGCAACUGACACUGAGGGACGAAAGCUAGGGUAGCGAACAGG